AUCGGUCAACAAAUAUUUAUUAGUGAACUUUAAGGAUGCGACAGCGAACGGUAAAGGAUAUAAACAACUUACAACUUACAAAAGGAAAUUUUAUACAGUUGUAGGAUAUGAUCUACAGAUCAGCAUAACCGUAGAGACAUGGGACUAAAAAUUUAUUGAUUUAGUUCUAUUUCGGCGCUUACAAACUUUUUGGAGUUAUUAAUAUUUCAUUUACAAAUUCCGGGAAUUGGCCACUACCUUGCAGUCACGUGAUUCAAAACCGCAAUCGGCACUAAUCCGGUUGUCUAAAUCCGGAGCUCAGUGUCCUUUUGUGGUUUUAGGUUCAAAUAGUUCAUGUGAUGUGACGUAGUGGAACAUGCCUGGAACAACAAACAACACGCAGUGAAAAUCUUAUUUAAGCCAUAGAAUGGAAUAAAAACAAAGCUUUGUUAAUAAAUUGCAGCAAUUUCAAUUGA